rnacentral:rRNA from 1 species
UAGGGCAGAUUACUAAGAUUGCCUCAGUAACGGCGAGUGAAGCGGCAAAAGCCCAAAAUGGUAAUCUUCACCUUUCAGGUGACGAAUUGUAAUCUACAGGUGGGAUACUCAACUGGGAGUGAUGCAGAAGUACCCUAGAACGGGUCGCCAAAGAGGGUGACAGCCCCGUAUGUGGUGUCGCUCCCUAACGAGUACCUUUCGAAGAGUCGGGUUGUUUGGAAAUGCAGCCCUAAUUGGGAGAUACACUUCUUCUAAGGCUAAAUAUGUAUGGGAAACCGAUAGCGAACAAGUACUGUGAAGGAAAGAUGAAAAGAACUUUGAAAAGAGAGUCAAAAGACUUGAAAUCGUUGAGAAGGAAGCGGUAGAAAUUUAUUCUGCAGCUAGGAAUAAAGGUUGUCGCCUAAACAUUGUGGUACUGAGUACUUCAACGGCUCAGUGCCACACCUGUGGAAGUGAUUGCUGGAUUCCUAGUAGUGAGGCAAAAUGGGGCUUCGUAUCCUCAAAAGCUUAGAUUACUUGGGGAGGUUCGCCUUCCACUAAUCUUGUGCUCGUGGAUAUGAAGCCUGAGGGAGCUUAUGCGAUUUUGCUAAAAUGGUUUUUACCGACCCGUCUCGAAACACGGACCAAGGAGUCUAUCAUAUAUGCGAGUGUGCUGGUGGAGAAACCAACACGCAAAAUGAAGGUAAUUGAUGCCAAGCGCAAGCAGCAGCAUCGACCGACCAUGAUCCUCUGGUGAAAGGUUUGAGUAAGAGCAUAUAUGCUAGGACCCGAAAGAUGGUGAACUAUGCCUGGGUAGGGUGAAGCCAGGGGAAACUCUGGUGGAAGCUCGAAGCGAUUCUGACGUGCAAAUCGAUCGUCAAACUUGGGUAUAGGGGCGAAAGACUAAUCGAACCAUCUAGUAGCUGGUUCCCUCCGAAGUUUCCCUUAGGAUAGCUGAGACAACUACGCAGUUUUAUCAGGUAAAGCGAAUGAUUAGAGGUAUCUGGGGUAAAUUGCCCUGGACCUAUUCUCAAACUUUAAAUUGGUAAGAACCUUGGCCUUUCUUAAUUGAGGCACAAGGGAUCAAUGCUUGUCUCAAGUGGGCCAUUUUUGGUAAGCAGAACUGGCGAUGAGGGUUGCUCCUAACGUUGAGUUAAGGUGCCAAACUACACGCUCAUCAGAAACUACAAAGGGUGUUGGUUCAUCCAGACAGCAGGACGGUGGCCAUGGAAGUCGGAACCCGCUAAGGAGUGUGUAACAACUCACCUGCCGAAUGGACUAGCCCCGAAAAUCGAUGGCGCUAAAGCGUGUGACCGAUACUCAACCAUUGUGGCGAGAGUGAGGCUACAAUGAGUAGGAGGGCGUGAACGUUGUUAAGAAGCCUCUGACGUGAGUCUGGGUUGAACAGCGUUUAGUGCAGAUCUUGGUGGUAGUAGCAAUUAUUCAAAUGAGAACUUUGAAGGCCGAAGUGGAGAAGGCUUCCGUGAGAACAGCAAUUGGUCACGGGUGACUCGAUCCUAAGACAUGGGGGAAAUCCUUGUUAAGUGCACCGUAUGGUGCGUAGUCGAAAGGGAAUGAGGUUAAUAUUCCUCAAGCUGGAUGUGGGUGUUGUAUGGUAACAUAAAUGAGCUCAGAAACGCCAGUGUGAGCCUCUGGAAGAGUUCUCUUUUCUUUUUAACAGGCUAACGACCUUGAAAUUGGAUUAUCCAGAGAUAAGGUGGUAUGCUUGGAAGAGCACCUUGCUUUUCGAGGUGUCAGGUGCGCUCACAAUGGUCCUUGAAAAUCUGAGUGAGAUAGCUUUCACACCAGGUUGCCCC